rnacentral:lncRNA from 1 species
CUGCCAUGGCAGUGCUGGGCUUGCUGAAUUCCAACACCUGCUCAGGGUGGCAGAAUGUCAUGGUUUUGUGUUCUGCCUCCCAUGGGGUGUGGUAACACUGCUGGGCAGGUGAAAUGUGGAGUGCUAGCCUGCAUUUACUCUGUGUCGCCAUCUGGUGCUGUCUAGUGAAGCGCAGAAACACUGCUCAGGGGAAGGGAAAACAGAGCCUAAGAUGAGGGAGGCUGAAGUUGGGAUCCUGACUUCCAUGUGGAAAGUUGCUGCUGGAAAACAGUCUCUGAGAAUGAAGAAGCCUUGUGGGCUCAGGAUGUGCCCGGGGUUGGGGGCUCCCAAACUCUUGGACAUCCUAACAUUGUUCCAAACAAUGUGUUGGGAACAGAUUUGGGUCAGAGAGCUGAGGAACCUGGAGGUAGGGGAACUCUGGCUUAGCUCAGUGGUGGAGAGUACAAGGAGCAUAGAGGGGCCUCUGCCAGGAGGCUUAGAUGGUGUGGCUCUAUAAAUAAAGGCUUUCUCCAUGUCCCCCACGGUGAUUCUUGAUGAAAGAGGCAAGUCCUUGGUGCUAAACUGUUUAUUGAUUGUUGUCAUGAAAAAUGAAUGCAUACCAGACACUUGGAGUGGACCAGAGAUUAAAUACCUUUUGCAGGGAGAAAUGUCAGAGAACGGAUGCUUACUGGACAAUGAGAUACCUCAUCAGAAUGGAGAACUCUGGUCUGGGAUACAUCAGGGUGACCCGGGCAUUACUGAAUGGCCGCAAUGAUGGGUGGAACAACAGGGAGUUGCCCCUUGGAAUUCUUGGAGUUUGGGCGAGGUAAGCCACCCAAGUC